CUACGGGGGGCACCAGUGGGGAAUAUUGCACAAUGGAGGAAACUCUGAUGCAGCAACGCUGCGUGGAGGAUGACACUUUUCGGAGCGUAAACUCCUUUUAUAUAGGAAGAAGAUGACGGUACUAUAUGAAUAAGCGCCGGCUAACUCCGUGCCAGCAGCCGCGGUAAUACGGAGGGCGCAAGCGUUACUCGGAAUCACUGGGCGUAAAGAGCGUGUAGGCGGAUUAAAAAGUCAGAAGUGAAAUCCUAUAGCUUAACUAUAGAACUGCUUCUGAAACUCUUAAUCUAGAAUAUGGGAGAGGUAGAUGGAAUUUCUGGUGUAGGGGUAAAAUCCGUAGAGAUCAGAAGGAAUACCGAUUGCGAAGGCGAUCUACUAGAACAUUAUUGACGCUGAGACGCGAAAGCGUGGGGAGCAAACAGGAUUAGAUACCCCAGUAGUC
rnacentral:rRNA from 1 species